rnacentral:misc_RNA from 1 species
GAUGAAGAACGCAGCGAAAUGCGAUAAGUAGUGUGAAUUGCAGAAUUCAGUGAAUCAUCGAAUCUUUGAACGCACAUUGCGCCCCUUGGUAUUCCAUGGGGCAUGCCUGUUCGAGCGUCAUUUGUACCUUCAAGCUUUGCUUGGUGUUGGGUGUUUGUCUCGCCUUUGCGUGUAGACUCGCCUUAAAAUAAUUGGCAGCCGGCGUAUUGAUUUCGGAGCGCAGUACAUCUCGCGCUUUGCACUCAUAACGACAGCGUCCAAAAGUACAUUUUACACUCUUGACCUCGGAUCAGGUAGGGAUAGCCGCUGAACUUAAGCAUAUCAAUAAGCGGAGGA